UUUUAGCCCCGAUCGAAGUGAAAAUCUUUGUGUGCCGGGGUUCGGCAUACAAAAUUGCAAGGAAGAGCGGGACAAUGU
rnacentral:sRNA from 1 species